rnacentral:rRNA from 1 species
AACGAACGCUGGCGGCAUGCCUAACACAUGCAAGUCGAACGAAGGCUUCGGCCUUAGUGGCGCACGGGUGCGUAACGCGUGGGAAUCUGCCCUUUGCUUCGGAAUAACAGUUAGAAAUGACUGCUAAUACCGGAUGAUGUCGCAAGACCAAAGAUUUAUCGGCAAAGGAUGAGCCCGCGUAGGAUUAGCUAGCUGGUGGGGUAAAGGCCUACCAAGGCGACGAUCCUUAGCUGGUCUGAGAGGAUGAUCAGCCACACUGGGACUGAGACACGGCCCAGACUCCUACGGGAGGCAGCAGUGGGGAAUAUUGGACAAUGGGCGAAAGCCUGAUCCAGCAAUGCCGCGUGAGUGAUGAAGGCCUUAGGGUUGUAAAGCUCUUUUACCCGGGAUGAUAAUGACAGUACCGGGAGAAUAAGCUCCGGCUAACUCCGUG